CAGAGAGAUGCGCACAAAGAGGGGCGGGUGGGGGGAGGGGGAGGUGGGAGGUGGCUCGGCCAAGGACAGAGGUCACCCCAAGCAUCCUGGGUCUCUCACUGGUGUGACAGGAUGCCCAAUAUCUUUUAAGCCUAAGUCCUAUGAUGAAGGACAUCUGUGACAAGAUGGCUCUGUCUGGGAAGCCUUUUCUCCCACCCUCACCAUUCUCUCCCUCCCAGAACUGGAAGAAGGAGCUCUCAAAGCCUGGGAGUCCCCCACAGACCUCGGACAGGUGGGACCAGCAGCAUGGAGGCUCUGUGUCUUGGCUCUGUCUUGGCCUCAUCCUGUCUCUGAAAGCAUCAGGCCCAGGACUGUGGCCUGAUGCUUCCGAACCCCUGAGCCUCUGUUUCCCCCUGUGAACUGGGAGCAAUACUUAACUCCAGAUCAUCAUGAGGGGGAAGUGGAACCCAAGAUGGGCAUUGAGAAUCAAGGCCAAGCUGUGUUAGGGGUUUCCCAUGUCUUAGUUCAUGAAUUCUCAAGCCACUCUGUGCUUUAGGCAGAGGUUUGUUUUGUUUUACAUCAUCACUCUGUAGACCUCAGGCAGAGAGAGGUUGAGUCAGGUGCCCAUGUUCACACAGCUGGUAAGAAAUCAGAAGGAAGACUCAAACCCAAGUGGGCUCCACACUAACCUCCAGGUUUGCCUGCCCUUCCAAGCCUGCCACACAGCAAAGGCUCCAUGAAGGGCAGUCAGCUGAAGGCCAUGGCUGUCACACUGAACAGGCAGCAAGGUGUUGUGGGAGAUGCUGACCACAAGGAGGAGGUCAGGCAGAGAGGAUGGUCUGAGCUGUGAUCAGAGAGAAGCCCAGGAGGCCUUGGGUGCGAGGUCUGUCUGCUUCCUGCCAGGUGGCUUGUGACAUCUGAACAAGUGGUGCUGUUCUCCUGUGCAUGCUCAUCUCUUCUGUUUAUGUUCCUGACUUUAUCUGCAGGGUGACCUUGGGAGCUAGAUGGGGCCUGUCCAGUCCUGGUAGGACCAGGAGGGUGAUGAGGAGCCCCUGCCCAGAUCAACCCUGGUCUUGGGGUGAGGUUACUCUUCUGUGGAUAUCUGUUCAAAGUGGUAGCAAAACCAAAUCCUGGCUCAGCUAAAACCCACAUCAUCUUACCUCCCUGAAGAGAAGAGACACAAACUCACUAGCUUAUGAACAUCACCUACCAGACUGUCUUUCCUUGGAGAACAGGUUUCCUUCACCAGGAGCAGCUCACCUCUAACAGCAACUCACUGUGAGGAAAGUGUCUACCUUCAUUCCUUUAUAUGUGGAUACCAGGUUUUCCCUGCAUGCAUUUGGCUUUCAUGGUAUUUUAC